rnacentral:rRNA from 1 species
UACGAAGGGUGCAAGCGUUACUCGGAAUUACUGGGCGUAAAGCGUGCGUAGGUGGUUUGUUAAGUCUGUUGUGAAAGCCCGGCUCAACCUGGGAAUGGCAAUGGAUACUGGCGAGGCUAGAGUGCGGUAGAGGGUAGUGGAAUUCCCGGUGUAGCCGGUGAAAUGCGUAGAGAUCGGGAGGAACACCAGUGGCGAAGGCGGCUACCUGGAC